rnacentral:lncRNA from 13 species
GGAGUCUAAACGCACAGGCACACGCUAAGCUUAGCAUAGGAGGAAGACCGCCUGCAUGAGGAGGGAGGCACCUCCCACGGGGGGUUUCUGAGAAUGGGCCAGGCUUGGAAUCCUUGAAACAGCCGGAUCUAGAAGUUGCAAGUUGUUUUCUGCAUCCAAUAUUUUGUCAUCUCUGGCCCUUCAAUAAGAUCUUGUUUAAUAUUGAUAUGGUUUGGCUGUGUCCUCAGCCAAAUCUCAUCUUCAAUUCCCAGGUGUCGUGAGAGGGACCAGGUGGGAGGUAAUUGAAUCAUGGGGGCAAGUCUUUCUGGAGCUGUUCUUGUGAUAGUGAAUACGUCUCACGAGAUCUGACGGUUUUAAAAACGGGAGUUUUUCUGCACAAGCUCUCUUUGCCUGCUGCCAUUCCCGUAAUAUGUGACUUGCUCCUUCUUGCCUUCGGCCAUGAUUAUGUGGCUUCUGCAUCCACGUGGAACUUCCUCUACUCUGAUCUAAUGAGGGGCUUUGACUGCCAGCGGAAAAUGGUGACUCAAUUAGACAACGACCUGGUGACUGCCCCUUCUGUCUCCAAGGAGAACACCAGGUAUGUUCCUUAAUUUUGGUAUUUGCCUAUCUCUCCCUCCUCCUUUUUCAAAAUCGAUUCUGAGAGGUGUUUCUUCUCCAUGAUAUCUAAAAC